rnacentral:rRNA from 1 species
GGCCAUCGCUCAACGGAUAAAAGCUACCCCGGGGAUAACAGGCUGAUCUCCCCCAAGAGUCCACAUCGACGGGGAGGUUUGGCACCUCGAUGUCGGCUCAUCGCAUCCUGGGGCUGUAGUCGGUCCCAAGGGUUGGGCUGUUCGCCCAUUAAAGCGGUACGCGAGCUGGGUUCAGAACGUCGUGAGACAGUUCGGUCCCUAUCCGUCGCGGGCGCAGGAAAUUUGAGAGGAGCUGUCCUUAGUACGAGAGGACCGGGAUGGACGCACCGCUGGUGUACCAGUUGUCCCGCCAGGGGCACCGCUGGGUAGCUAUGUGCGGACGGGAUAAGCGCUGAAAGCAUCUAAGCGUGAAGCCCCCCUCAAGAUGAGAUUUCCCACCGCGUCAGGCGGGUAAGAUCCCUCGAAGAUGACGAGGUCGAUAGGUCCGAGGUGGAAGCGUGGCGACACGUGGAGCUGACGGAUACUAAUCGAUCGAGGGCUUAACCUAA